UACGAGGGGGGCAAGCGUUGUCCGGAUUUAUUGGGCGUAAAGCGUAUGUAGGCGGCUAAGUAAGUCAGGCGUGCAAGCCCGUGGCUCAACCACGGAAUUGCGUUUGAAACUGUUUAGCUUGAGUACAGGAGAGGAAAGCGGAAUUCCCAGUGUAGCGGUGAAAUGCAUUGAUAUUGGGAAGAACAUCUGUGGCGAAGGCGGCUUUCUGGUCUGUUACUGACGCUGAGAUACGAAAGCCAGGGUAGCGAACGGG
rnacentral:rRNA from 1 species